rnacentral:rRNA from 1 species
AGGGUAAUAUACUUGAGCAUUGACGUUAUCUACAGAAGAAGCACUGGCUAACUCUGUGCCAGCAGCCGCGGUAAUACAGAGAGUGCAAGCGUUAAUCGGAAUCACUGGGCGUAAAGCGCGCGUAGGUGGAUGUUUAAGUCGGAUGUGAAAGCCCUAGGCUUAACCUAGGAACUGCAUUCGAUACUGAAUAUCUCGAGUAUGGUAGAGGGAAGUGGAAUUUCCGGUGUAGCGGUGAAAUGCGUAGAUAUCGGAAAGAACACCAGUGGCGAAGGCGGCUUCCUGGACCAAUACUGACACUGAGGUGCGAAAGCGUGGGGAGCAAACAGGAUUAGAGACCCUGGUAGUCCACGCCGUCAACGAUGAGAACUAGCUGUUGGGAAGUUUACUUUCUAGUAGCGAAGCUAACGCGUUAAGUUCUCCGCCUGGGGAGUACGGCCGCAAGGUUAAAACUCAAAGAAAUUGACGGGCGCCCGCACAAGCGGUGGAGCAUGUGGUUUAAUUCGAUGCAA